rnacentral:tRNA from 1 species
GGGCCGGUAGCUGAGACGGUCUAGCGCCACUCUGAAAAGGUGGAGAGGUGGAUUCGAGCGCCACCCGGCCCAC